rnacentral:rRNA from 1 species
UGGGGAAUAUUGGACAAUGGGCGAAAGCCUGAUCCAGCCAUGCCGCGUGAGUGAUGAAGGCUCUAGGGUUGUAAAGCUCUUUCACCGGUGAAGAUAAUGACGGUAACCGGGGAAGAAGCCCCGGCUAACUUCGUGCCAGCAGCCGCGGUAAUACGAAGGGGGCUAGCGUUGUUCGGAAUUACUGGGCGUAAAGCGCACGUAGGCGGAUUGUUAAGUCGGGGGUGAAAUCCCGGGGCUCAACCCCGGAACUGCCUUCGAUACUGGCAAUCUAGAGUCCGGAAGGGGUGAGUGGAAUUCCGAGUGUAGAGGUGAAAUUCGUAGAUAUUCGGAGGAACACCAGUGGCGAAGGCGGCUCACUGGUCCGGUACUGACGCUGAGGUGCGAAAGCGUGGGGAGCAAACA